rnacentral:lncRNA from 1 species
CAGAAUCAGUAGCACCACAAGCAGAAUCAUCAGUAUCACAGGUAGAAUCAGUAACAUCACGAGGAGUAUCGCAGGCAGAAUCAGCAGCAACACAAGCAGAAUUGGCAGUAUCAGGAGAAGCAUCACAAUCAGAAUCAGUAGCACCACAAGCAGAAUCAUCAGUAUCACAGGUAGAAUACAGUAACGAAUCACGAGGGAGUAUCGCAGGCAGAAUCAGCAGGACAGAAUUAGGUCGAGUAUCAGAGGAAGCAUCACAAUCAGAAUCAGUAGCACCACAAGCAGAAUCAUCAGUAUCACAGGCAGAAUCAGUAACAUCAGGAGGGGUAUCACAGGCAGAAUCAACAGCAUCACAAGCAGUAUCAGUAACAUCAGGAGGAGUAUCGCAGGCAGAAUCAGACCAAAAUUAUUAUCACUUUAUUAGUUUAGUGUAUAUAAAAUAAUAAAUAUAAAAAUAAAUAUAACAUUAUAAUAUGCUUUAUUAAUCAUUUCAUUACAGUGAUUUGUUAACAUUAAAAAGUAAAGUAGUGCACUCUGUAAUUCACUGCAAUUUUUUUCACAAAAAGCUGAGAGAAUUAACAUGACAUUUAGCAGCAAAUAGAAAAUAGAGUGCAGGGCUUAGAAAUUUAGUGGCCUCAUUUAUAAAGACAUACCAAGGAUGAUCCUCAAUGGCAUUUUAUAAAUUAUAAUUCAUCAUGAAUUUAAGCUGACUGUGAACAAAUGCUUCAUCUCCACCCACAGAAUGCCAACAAGUUGUUCAUUGUUAGUUCAUAUUAGGUAAUGCAUUGGUAACACUUUAUAAUUAGUAAAUAGUCAGUUCAUCCUUUAUAAAGCAUUGUUCCAAUAUUAAAGGGGUCCUAUUAUGCUCUUUUACAAAGUCUUGAUUUUGUUUUGGGGGUCUACUAGAACAGGCUCUCAUACUAAGUUGUUCGAAAAACACAUUAUUUUUCUUAUAUUGUACAUUAUUACAACACCUCUCUCCCCAGUCUGGCAUGAACGGCUCAUAUAGUUCCUGUAUCAAAUGAAGACUCGCCUUCUGAAAUCCGAAAUGUGCUGUGAUUGGUUAGUAGUAGUAGUAGCCCUUUAUUGUCACUAGUCACAAGUACCAGCGAAAUUAGCCAUCAACCUGUCCAUACAUAUGUAUACACAACAUACAUACAAUAUGCCAAGGGGGUAGACAGGACAGGAAGACAGGGAAUUGAGGAAGAAAUACAGCAUAACAUGACCCCCAGACUAUGCUCCUUUGGGAGUACAGUGUGAGAACAGGAAAAACACCUCAGCAACAACAGCACAUAAUCAAUACAGCAUAAACACAAGAGUUUGCAACAGGGGAGGGGAAGAGGGGGGUCGAGGUAAUCCAGUGCAGACAAGCAGCCAUCCGGUCCUGCAGCCAUUCUCGGCGCUGGUCACAGACCCGCUUGUCAGACAGGCGGUACAAAGCGGUGUAGGCAAGGGAUGGGGGGUGAAUGCAUAUCUGUAUAUAUGUGCGUAUGUGUGUGUGUAUGUAUGUAUGUAAGAGUUCGUGUAUUUGUAGGCCUGAAGAGCCGCCACGCUGGCAUUCAAAUCUAGGUACCUAAGUCCGUAGAUUGUGAUAGCAACACAACAAGUUGCCAUGGAGACAGCCUUGAUCAGGUCCCAGACAGAAUCAACAAUCAGCAGGUGUCUGUGGAAGUCGGGGGCUGAGGCCAGUGCUGGUUGAGGGGAGCUGAAAGAAGAUAAGAUUGCGAUUGUUUGGUCUUGGGGCGAUUAGCCGCAUUUCAACUUACACGGUUACUCUCUUUGUCCUAUUCUGGUCUCCAAAUCCAUCCAUUUUCCUUGCAAACCUGUGAGCUUCUCCGUGAUGGUAUCCAUAUUGCGGUUAAUAGUCUCAGUCUCGGGUGAAUGCAUAUCUGUAUAUAUGUGCGUAUGUGUGUGUGUAUGUAUGUAUGUAAGAGUUCGUGUAUUUGUAGGCCUGAAGAGCCGCCACGCUGGCAUUCAAAUCUAGGUACCUAAGUCCGUAGAUUGUGAUAGCAACACAACAAGUUGCCAUGGAGACAGCCUUGAUCAGGUCCCAGACAGAAUCAACAAUCAGCAGGUGUCUGUGGAAGUCGGGGGCUGAGGCCAGUGCUGGUUGAGGGGAGCUGAAAGAAGAUAAGAUUGCGAUUGUUUGGUCUUGGGGCGAUUAGCCGCAUUUCAACUUACACGGUUACUCUCUUUGUCCAUUCUGGUCUCCAAAUCCAUCCAUUUUCCUUUGCAAACCUGUGAGCUUCUCCGUGAUGGUAUCCAUAUUGCGGUUAAUAGUCUCAGUCUCAGUGCUGACCGCUCUGCCCACUGCUUCAAUCAUAACGGGCAGCCUUGUGAGGUUUUGGACAGCUGUUCCCGUUUUCUGAAUUCUUCAAUAACCCAGGGCAAAGCCUAAUCCAAUCAGCAGAAGACCUGUUAUCAUGGUUCCAAAUAGGUAGAUAUCUUCAAUGUUCUGCACAGAAAGAACCGCCAGACGCACUACCCGCCACCUCUCCCAUGCGUCUAUCGUGUAGCCAGCUGCGAACGUCCUGGCAGGGCAAUCAGGUUCCCCCAAACCCAAGCUUCUCGUCGAGAAGAUGGUGUCAAUUGCGUUGAGAGACCAGUUGAUAAAAAACAUGAUUUUUCAGUUUGGAGAGCAGUGCAGAGAGAGUCUCUCAAAGUAUUAGACAAUAGACGAGACAAGAGAGCAAGCAGGGAAGGUAAGGGGGAGGAGAGGGAGAGAAAAUGCGUCCGCCUUUGUUGAGAGCCAAACGAGAAGUUAGCUGGACCAGUGUGUGUUGUGAUUGGCAGCACUCGAUGCCUGGUCGGGAAAUGUCAUUCCCUUACCAUAUCCGCCUGUUGCCAGCUUCAGUGUAAAUAUUGCAUCAAAAUCAAAUCAAUUUGAGUGUGUUUUAAACUCAGAUGAUUGUAACCACUCUAAGUUCGUCUGCCUUGGGAAGCUAGCGUGUCUACGAAAUAGUGAUAACACUCGCUGCCUUCUCUAGUGCAGCUCAACAAAGUCUGGUCCCAUUUGUCAAUUUUUGUGAUAUCACAAGUCCUGGAAAAUUAUGUUUUAUAAACAAGGUUUGGGAGGAGCAUGUCAGAUAUGUCACCUCCCCGUAUUGAUUUAAUAAUAAUUUCAAUGCCCUGAAUUCUCAAAGACAAAGGGUCAAUAUGGUGUAUUUCUUUAUAGUGUUUGGCCAUGGGGUAAUCUUCGUUAUUGACUCUAAUUGCGUAUUUGUGUUCAUAAAACCGCUCUGUUAGUUUUCUUUUAGUUCUGCCCACAUAGAAACACCCACAUGGGCAUUGUAGGCGGUAGACCACAUAUUCAGAUUUACAGUUAAUAAAACCAUUAGUCUUAAAUUCUCUCUGUGUUCUCAGAUCACAAAAAGUCUUACUUUGAAUGACACCCUCACAAUGACUGCAAGAUCCACACCUAUAGGUUCCCCCACAACCCUUUUUCUAGCCAUGUUUUUUGUCUAGGACCUGGAAGGUAACUUCUUACAAGUUUGUCCCUUAUGGAUGGUGCCUUCUUGAACACAGUCUGAACUAUUAGAGGUAUUGAAUCCGGAGAGGCUUAUCCGUUUGAUGCCUUGAGUAUUGAGCUCCCAUCAGAUGUCGGUGAGAGCCUCCCGGCUAGACAACCUUACCUUUUCCUUUCUACGGUCGGCGAGGCUUACCCGUUCGAUGCCUUGAGUAUUGAGCUCCCAUCGGACGUCGGCGAG